GAUGAACGCUAGCUACAGGCUUAACACAUGCAAGUCGAGGGGAAACGACAGAGAAAGCUUGCUUUUUCUAGGCGUCGACCGGCGCACGGGUGAGAAACGCGUAUCCAACCUGCCCAUCACUUGGGGAUAACCUUGCGAAAGUAAGACUAAUACCCAAUGAUAUCUCUAGAAGACAUCUGAAGGAGAUUAAAGAUUUAUCGGUUAAGGAUGGGGAUGCGUCGGAUUAGCUUGUUGGCGGGGUAACGGCCCACCAAGGCGACGAUCAGUAGGGGUUCUGAGAGGAUGGUCCCCCACACUGGAACUGAGACACGGUCCAGACUCCUACGGGAGGCAGCAGUGGGGAAUAUUGGACAAUGGGCGCAAGCCUGAUCCAGCCAUGCCGCGUGUGUGAAGAAGGCCUUCGGGUUGUAAAGCACUUUCAGUAGGGAGGAAGCGUUGUGUGUUAAUAGUACACAGCGUUGACGUUACCUACAGAAGAAGCACCGGCUAACUCUGUGCCAGCAGCCGCAGUAA
rnacentral:rRNA from 1 species